GAUGAAGAACGCAGCGAAAUGCGAUAAGUAAUGUGAAUUGCAGAAUUCAGUGAAUCAUCGAGUCUUUGAACGCACAUUGCGCCCCCUGGUAUUCCGGGGGCAUGCCUGUCCGAGCGUCAUUGCUGCCCUCAAGCACGGCUUGUGUGUUGGGCCCCCGCCCCCCGGUCCCGGGGGGCGGGCCCGAAAGGCAGCGGCGGCACCGCGUCCGGUCCUCGAGCGUAUGGGGCUUUGUCACCCGCUCUGUAGGCCCGGCCGGCGCCCGCCGGCGACCCCAAUCAAUCUUUUUCAGGUUGACCUCGGAUCAGGUAGGGAUACCCGCUGAACUUAAGCAUAUCAAUAAGCGGAGGA
rnacentral:misc_RNA from 1 species